GGAGAGGUGGCUGAGCGGCCGAAAGCGGCGGUCUUGAAAACCGUUGAUCCGCGAGGAUCCCAGGGUUCGAAUCCCUGCCUCUCCGCCA
rnacentral:tRNA from 1 species